rnacentral:tRNA from 1 species
UCCCAGGUGGCUCAGUGGUAAAGAAUCUGCCUGCCAAGCAGGAGAUGCGGGUUUGAUCCCUGGCUCGGGGA